UACGGGGGGGGUAAGCGUUGUUCGGAAUUACUGGGCGUAAAGGGCGCGUAGGCGGCCGAUCAAGUCAGAUGUGAAAGUCCUGGGCUUAACCUGGGGACUGCAUUUGAUACUGAUUGGCUUGAAUUCGGGAGAGGAUAGCGGAAUUCCCAGUGUAGAGGUGAAAUUCGUAGAUAUUGGGAAGAACACCGGUGGCGAAGGCGGCUAUCUGGACCGACAUUGACGCUGAUGCGCGAAAGCGUGGGGAGCAAACAGG
rnacentral:rRNA from 1 species